rnacentral:lncRNA from 1 species
UUUGAUGUCUGAUCGAAAAUCGCCGGAGGAAGGAAGACCGUCGCCGGAUUCGUAGACGUCGGCGUUAAGAGGCACCGUGACUUUGACUUGCCGGCCGAGACCGGCUUUCACCAGAGCCGCUUGAACGUUCUGCAGCGCCGGGUAUGUUGAACGGACGAAUCUGUCCUUGUAAGUCUUUAAGAAUGGCUCAUUCCCCACGGCUACAUAUCUGAAAUUAAAAAUCCAAUCUUUUAGAAACUUUAAGCAUGUUUCUUCUAGCUCAGAAAUCCAAUCUUGAGAAACUUAAGCAAGUUUUUAGUUUUUUAUAGCGUAAUCCAAGCUUUCAAAGCAUGUUUUUGGUUUUAAAAUCCAAUCUUUAAAAGCUGAGACAUGUUUUGUAAGCUUCAAAAAUCAAAUCUUUAGAAACUUUAAAGCUUGUUUGUAGCUGAAAAAUACAAGCUUUAGAAACUUGAGCAGGUUUUUGCGCUAUUUACUAUUGAAGUGCAAUACAAUUUACCUUAUGUCGGUUCCAAAUUUGGAGAUGUACUGAGAGACGUUUUGUUGAACCCAGAGCUCAGCGGCGGUAACAGUGGAGGCCAUAGUUGCCAGGAGAUCGUUGGGGAUACCGACCAUGACCUGAAUACCGGAUUUCCCAAGGGCUCUUAGUGCACCAGGGUCAGCUUCAAAUAGCUUAACCUUGUUGAACCGAUUGUCUCUUAGGAGCUUCACCACAAUGUUCGGUGGCAUAGGAUGGCUCGCUUGUGUCCCCCAGUUACAUGCCAAACCAUCCACAUUCUUCAAAACAUUGUG